rnacentral:piRNA from 1 species
UGAAAUGAAUGUGCAUGAGCAUGGUGCCAG